rnacentral:rRNA from 1 species
GCUUUAAAUCCAACAGCACCUAUUACCCAUAUAUCUUUAUAUUUUUUUAGCAAAUGCUCGUUCGGUUUUAGGUUGGGGUGACCAUGGAGUAAAAAAUAACCUCCACGAAAAAAGGCAUAAAACCCUUAUCAAAGAGCCACAUCUCUAUGAAUUAGUAAACUAAUUUCUGAUGAUCCGAUAUUCGAUCAACGAACCAAGUUACCCUGGGGAUAACAGCGCAAUCCGCCUUAAGAGCCCCUAUCGACAGGCGGGUUUACGACCUCGAUGUUGGAUCAGGGUAUCCCAGUGGUGCAACAGCUACUAAAGGUUCGUUUGUUCAACGAUUAAAACCCU